ACAAAAUGGAGGAAUUGUUAACGAACAAGGUUACCAACAUCAAUAGAACAUGGAGAAGAUUGGAAAUAUCCCCAAAAUGUCAUAAGUUACAACAUACUGGGUGUUCUUCUGUCUGGUGCAGAGUCCUGGCAGACACCAAAUGCUAUUAACAACAAGCUGAAUGUCUUCCAAACUCUCUUCUGGCCACAGACCAUCUCAAAUGAGGAGCUGUAUCAGAGGACAAACACCAUUCCUCUCUCACAAGAAGUUGAGGGAAGAGGAUGGAGGUGGAUUGGACAACAUUUCCAGAAUGCACCCAGAUUCCAUCCCUAGGGUAGCAAGGAGAUGGACACCUGACCAGGAAAAAGGAAGAGAGGAAGACCAAAGGAAACCUGGAGAUGGUCUGUUGAGAAAGAACUAAAAGAGAAAGACUGGACAUGUGGACAAAUACACCAGUGGUCCUUAAGAAGACAUAAAUGGAAAUCUCUGGUGAUGGCCUUAUGUGUAAACCAGCACGAAGAGGACUAACUUACAUAGUAUCUUGAAGGCAAAUAACAAAACAACAAAUACAUAGAAACUGGAAUAGUGAAUAAUAUAUAAAUCUACACAGAAGCCAGGCCAACUCUCCUCAGUUCAAGUGACUGGUUUAUGAUUGAGGACCUAGCUUAUACAAUGCCUUGAAAGGAGGUACAACAUGGCAGAAUUUAGACCAGCCAAGUGGAAAAAGACUGGAAAAACUGGGAAAAGAUUUGAAUUCCAAUGGAAUUAUUUGAUGAGCUAUAAGCAGGGAUUCUGUAUACCACAUGCAUUCGCAGUGGUAAUUAUAGGAAUUGCAACAGGGUGUCAACUUACAAGGGCCAUUCUGUCUCCAAUCCUCUAGAAAGGUCAACAAAUUGAGUGAUACCUUAUCAACACUGGCAUCAGAAUCAAAGGUCAAGGUCAUCGAUGCAUCAUCAUCAAC